UCAGAUUGAACGCUGGCGGCAGGCCUAACACAUGCAAGUCGAGCGGUUGAAGGAAGCUUGCUUCCUGAUUCAGCGGCGGACGGGUGAGUAAUGCCUAGGAAUCUGCCUGGUAGUGGGGGACAACGUUUCGAAAGGAACGCUAAUACCGCAUACGUCCUACGGGAGAAAGCAGGGGACCUUCGGGCCUUGCGCUAUCAGAUGAGCCUAGGUCGGAUUAGCUAGUUGGUGAGGUAAUGGCUCACCAAGGCGACGAUCCGUAACUGGUCUGAGAGGAUGAUCAGUCACACUGGAACUGAGACACGGUCCAGACUCCUACGGGAGGCAGCAGUGGGGAAUAUUGGACAAUGGGCGAAAGCCUGAUCCAGCCAUGCCGCGUGUGUGAAGAAGGUCUUCGGAUUGUAAAGCACUUUAAGUUGGGAGGAAGGGCAGUCAGCGAAUACCUUGCUGUCUUGACGUUACCGACAGAAUAAGCACCGGCUAACUCUGUGCCAG
rnacentral:rRNA from 1 species